UAAAGAAUGAGUGUGUUAAACUGUUAUGUCUCCCGGUGCCACCAAGGACACAGGCACGCACGCACACACACGCACGCACGCACACACGAAAGGAUACACCCUUCCAGGGUGUGAAAGGGUAACGCAACGCUGACACCAAAUGUCUUCGGCCCACCGCGGUGCACCCCUGAGCGAGGAAGUCAGCGAGCGCCCGGAGGAGACUGGGCAGCUCUCGCGUGUCCUUUUUCCACGCACAAAGCCGACCUCCCCAUCUUAACUUUCCUAACUUAGUCGGUUCCCGCCCAACCAGUCCCCGAAGCAGAGGCGCGGGUGGAAACAUAUUGAGACACCGGCAAAGCCAUCCCCGGGGCAGUAAAAGUGUUGGAAAACAAAACACAAAGGCAGUGCCCGUGGCCCCCUCCAUAGCUAGGGAAGUUGCGAGGCGCGGGGUGGCAAGCGCGGAGGACGACGCGUCCAGGGCCUCUUGGGACACUGGUGAAGUCAGGCGUCGAAGGGGACUUCUUUUUGCAGAACCACUUAGAUCUGCUUCAGUGUUCCCACAUCUGAACUUAGACUGCUGGUGAGACGCCCCAUCAUACACCCACAGCCCCUCGGGGGCACCAUAUACAUUUAUAAAGCAAAUUCCAGAGCAAGAAUGUCACAGCCUUAUUAGCUGGCCUUUACUUUGUGAGAAGCUUGGUUGUGCGUGUUUCCUAAUUAGACCAAGAAAACCCGAAUGGGACUGCUUGACCGCCUCCCUCUCCCCCAGCCCCACAGGCACUUCCCUAUAAGAGACACACACCUACAUGUUUCCUGCUGAAGAAGGAAGUUGCUCAUACAAAUGAAAACAAGCCCCAUCAUUUCUUAGUGAACCUUUGAGUCUAUGCAGUGGAGACUUCGGGAUAGUAGGGGAAAGCAUGGCAUGAGAGAGGCUGGACAUCACUUCUGCCCCAACAGGUCGUCAUUUAUGGAACUUGCUACUGCUUGGUAAGGAUGUAAGAUGUUUUUAUACAAAGGCCAUCAACACGGGAAUGGUGGAUUUGACCCUACAGAGUGACAACACCGUGUGGGACUCUGGCCGCCCCAGGAUACUGCUGGUAGAAGAUACCAGGGCCAGGUUAGAUGGCUCCUCCUUCAACUGCGGGGACAUGGCAACCACCUGCAACAAUAAAGUGAGAUCCUGCUUUGAUGAGACUCCUGGCUUGGUGGUGUGUUCCUGGCCAUCGACACUCACCCUCUUCCUCAACGCCUUGGGAGGAACCAGUGGGCCUGGUCCUUCCUCAGCACUACUACCCGCCGGGGGAGCCUGGCAGUCUGGCACCCAAAGAGGGGCUAAAGGAAUCCGGCAGACUGGUGCCCUGUGUGAGGCAUUCUUGUUGAGGAGGUCAAUCAGUGUGCGUGUGCGGUUUGCCGGCAAGCUGCACCUGCAGCUUUUGUAUUUCUGAACGGGCCAUAUGUCCCUAGUGGACACACUGUGUGGGCAGACCUGGAGGAGACUCCAGGUGCAUUGCCCCCUCAUUUGAGUGAGGGCUCUGUCCUGGAAGAUGAAGCAAAUCUGCUGGGGAGACCUGCUCCCAUCCACACUAUGUUUGGUAUCAUUGAGCCAUCCCCUAAGGACACAGACUUGUCUGGCUGUCACGGAUAAACGACGGAGAUGUGGAUGCUACCACACUUCCUGAUGCUGACGAUGUUCACUCCGCCCAGUGCUGAAGGGUUUGGAAACCCACAUGACACCAGAGCUAUCUUAGCCAAACAGAUGGGAAAACCUUGUGAAUGUCAGGGAGGAACACAUAAAACACUUCCUUUUAACGGAUGCUGUUUCUAUGCCAAUAGACCAGGAAUCGUUCAAGACAAAAUCAAGACUUCAAGAAAACCUGGAGAAGAGACGGCGGGACCUCCAGGACAACCCACUGUAGACGGGUCUAUGUGGCUUCUUACCUUACCUCCUCCUUCUACUUGGGCCCCUCCUUCCUUCUCCUUCUCCUUCUCCUCACUAUUGGGCCUUG